rnacentral:lncRNA from 1 species
AGUCAUUGCACACUUGGUUCGAGAAGGGUCAAAAACUCUAGAGAAUUCAAGUAAUGUCUAAGAAGAUGGAGUACAAACUAAAACAACAACAACAACGACAACAACAUAUAGAUAUUUCAUCAAAAGGUUACAAUACAAAAAGAGAUGACAACAAAACCAGAAUUACCAUCUUACUCGAACAGACUGAAACCCAUAUCCUGCAAAGUAAACAAAAGAGCACAAGUAAGCAUCAUUUCAGUGUUUUAACUUUUAAGAUACUACUACACUUAAGCAUGAAAGAAUGUAAACUUACAUCAUCUGAUUCUUCCUUCUCUUCCUUCUUCUCCUCUUUCUUGGACUCAGCCGCAGGAGCACNNN